UGCUGCAAAACCAGCAAAGAAAGAGAAAGAUCUUCCUGGUGUGAACACGUCAGCGAUAUAUGAUCUGUGCAAGGAGGAUCAGCAGGCUGAGACGUUUCCUUGCCAGGACCCGCGCUCCGUUCUUCAUAACACCAACAACAUGGCGUAGUUGAGGACUGUUCUUCCUACCGUGGGACGCGGGAGUACUCCUUUGCUGCUGGUCCAUGUUGCACCAGUCUUGUCUAUGGACACCAGAGCCACGCCCCCAACCACGCCCCCGCCCCAGACCACGCCCCCCACCUCCCGAAAUCGGAGGUCUCAAGUCUCCUCGGAAGACGCCAUCAGCGCCUGGACAGAGACCUUGGCAGCCUGGACAGAGGCCUUGUGGUUGAUGGAGAAAUCGCCAUUUAUUUUGUUCUCCACCACCUGCCAUUGGCGUGGCUCCAAUUGGUCCAAGACCUGUUGAAAGUCCUGUUCAACACAAGUAAAUACACACAGCAAUCAUGUUCAACACAAGUAAAUACACACACCAAUCAUGUUCAACACAAGUAAAUACACACACCAAUCAUAGUGUAUAUAUGGCAUGAUAACUGCAGUAACAGAGGAGUGAUGAAUGUGUGAAAAUAUGUCCUGGUCUUUG